GUGAGGAAUUUUGCGCAAUGGGGGAAACCCUGACGCAGCGACGCCGCGUGGAGGAAGACGGCCUUCGGGUUGUAAACUCCUGUCAGAGGUGAAGAAUGCCCGCAAGGGCUUGACGGUAACCUCAGAGGAAGCCCCGGCUAACUACGUGCCAGCAGCCGCGGUAAUACGUAGGGGGCGAGCGUUGCUCGGAAUUACUGGGCGUAAAGGGAGUGCAGGCGGCCGGUUAAGUCAAAGAUGAAAUCCCGAGGCUUAACUUCGGAAUGGUCUUUGAUACUGAUCGGCUUGAGGCUGGUUGAGGAGAGCGGAAUUCCCGGUGGAGCGGUGAAAUGCGUAGAUAUCGGGAGGAACACCAGAGGCGAAGGCGGCUCUCUAAACUAGUCCUGACGCUGAGACUCGAAAGCUAGGGGAGCAAACGGGAUUAGAAACCCUAGUAGUCC
rnacentral:rRNA from 1 species